rnacentral:tRNA from 1 species
UAAAAAAUAAGCUAAGUUAAGCUAAUGAACUCAUACUUCAUUUAUAAAAGAAUAAAUCUUUUUUUUUUAU